rnacentral:rRNA from 1 species
UACGUAGGGUGCAAGCGUUAAUCGGAAUUACUGGGCGUAAAGCGUGCGCAGGCGGUUUUGUAAGUCUGACGUGAAAUCCCCGGGCUCAACCUGGGAAUUGCGUUGGAGACUGCAAGGCUAGAAUCUGGCAGAGGGGGGUAGAAUUCCACGUGUAGCAGUGAAAUGCGUAGAGAUGUGGAGGAACACCGAUGGCGAAGGCAGCCCCCUGGGAUAACACUGACGCUCAUGCACGAAAGCGUGGGGAGCAAACAGG